AGUCCUGAAGUAGCUGAUUACGUUGGAUUGCAAAUCCAAAGACGGAGGUUAAAGCCUCCCGGGGCUU
rnacentral:tRNA from 1 species